CAGCUGAUGUUUUAUAGUAAGCCAGGUGAGGAACACUGCAGUGAUGUUUUACAGUAAGCCAGGUGAGGAACACUGCAGUGAUGUUUUAUAGUAAGCCAGGUGAGGAACACUGCAGUGAUGUUUUAUAGUAAGCCAGGUGAGGAACACUGCAGUGAUGUUUUACAGUAAGCCAGGUGAGGAACACUGCAGUGAUGUUUUACAGUAAGCCAGGUGAGGAACACUGCAGUGAUGUUUUACAGUAAGCCAGGUGAGGAACACUGCAGUGAUGUUUUACAGUAAGCCCGGUGAGGAACACU